rnacentral:rRNA from 1 species
AUUGAACGCUGGCGGCAGGCUUAACACAUGCAAGUCGAGCGGGGUGAUGGUGCUUGCACUAUCACUUAGCGGCGGACGGGUGAGUAAUGCUUAGGAAUCUGCCUAUUAGUGGGGGACAACAUCUCGAAAGGGAUGCUAAUACCGCAUACGUCCUACGGGAGAAAGCAGGGGAUCACUUGUGACCUUGCGCUAAUAGAUGAGCCUAAGUCGGAUUAGCUAGUUGGUGGGGUAAAGGCCUACCAAGGCGACGAUCUGUAGCGGGUCUGAGAGGAUGAUCCGACACACUGGGACGGAGACACGGCCCAGACUCCUCCGGGAGGCAGCAGUGGGGAAUAUUGGACAAUGGGGGGAACCCUGAUCCAGCCAUGCCGCGUGUGUGAAGAAGGCCUUAUGGUUGUAAAGCACUUUAAGCGAGGAGGAGGCUCUUUUGGUUAAUACCCAAGAUGAGUGGACGUUACUCGCAGAAUAAGCACCGGCUAACUCUGUGCCAGCCGCCGCCGUAA